rnacentral:rRNA from 1 species
GGCGGCAUGCCUUACACAUGCAAGUCGAACGGCAGCAUGAUCUAGCUUGCUAGAUUGAUGGCGAGUGGCGAACGGGUGAGUAAUACAUCGGAACGUGCCCUGUAGUGGGGGAUAACUAGUCGAAAGAUUAGCUAAUACCGCAUACGACCUGAGGGUGAAAGUGGGGGACCGCAAGGCCUCAUGCUAUAGGAGCGGCCGAUGUCUGAUUAGCUAGUUGGUGAGGUAAAGGCUCACCAAGGCGACGAUCAGUAGCUGGUCUGAGAGGACGAUCAGCCACACUGGGACUGAGACACGGCCCAGACUCCUACGGGAGGCAGCAGUGGGGAAUUUUGGACAAUGGGCGAAAGCCUGAUCCAGCAAUGCCGCGUGUGUGAAGAAGGCCUUCGGGUUGUAAAGCACUUUUGUCCGGAAAGAAAUGGCUCUGGUUAAUACCUGGGGUCGAUGACGGUACCGGAAGAAUAAGGACCGGCUAACUACGUGCCAGCAGCCGCGGUA